GACGAACGCUGGCGGCGUGCUUAACACAUGCAAGUCGAGCGGUAAGGCCCUUUCGGGGGUACACGAGCGGCGAACGGGUGAGUAACACGUGGGUGACCUGCCCUCAGCUCUGGGAUAAGCCCUGGGAAACCGGGUCGUAAUACUGGAUAUGACUCCAUGACGCAGUGUUGUGGGGUGGAAAGCCUUGUGCGGCUGAGGAUGGGCCCGCGGCCUAUCAGCUUGUUGGUGGGGUGA
rnacentral:rRNA from 1 species